rnacentral:rRNA from 1 species
UACGUAGGGGGCGAGCGUUGUCCGGAGUUACUGGGCGUAAAGGGCGCGUAGGCGGUGCGGCGCGUGUGCGGUGCCAGCUCCUGGCUUAACCGGGAGAGUGCCGGGCAAACGGUCGGACUGGAGGGCUGCAGAGGGACAUAGAAUUCCGGGUGGAGUGGUGAAAUGCGUAGAGAUCCGGAGGAAUACCAAUGGCGUAGGCAGUGUCCUGGGCAGCCGCUGACGCUGAGGCGCGAAAGCCAGGGGAGCGAACGGG